rnacentral:rRNA from 1 species
CAUAGGGGGCCGGCCGGCCCUAAACAUGCAAGUCGAGCGGCAGCGGGUCCUUCGGGAUGCCGGCGAGCGGCGGACGGGUGAGUAAUGCCUAGGAAUCUGCCUGAUAGUGGGGGAUAACGUUCGGAAACGGACGCUAAUACCGCAUACGUCCUACGGGAGAAAGCGGGGGAUCUUCGGACCUCGCGCUAUCAGAUGAGCCUAGGUCGGAUUAGCUAGUUGGUGAGGUAAUGGCUCACCAAGGCGACGAUCCGUAACUGGUCUGAGAGGAUGAUCAGUCACACUGGAACUGAGACACGGUCCAGACUCCUACGGGAGGCAGCAGUGGGGAAUAUUGGACAAUGGGCGAAAGCCUGAUCCAGCCAUGCCGCGUGUGUGAAGAAGGUCUUCGGAUUGUAAAGCACUUUAAGUUGGGAGGAAGGGCAGUAAGCUAAUAUCUUGCUGUUUUGACGUUACCAACAGAAUAAGCACCGGCUAACUUCGUGCCAGCAGCCGCGGUAAUACGAAGGGUGCAAGCGUUAAUCGGAAUUACUGGGCGUAAAGCGCGCGUAGGUGGUUCAGCAAGUUGGAUGUGAAAGCCCCGGGCUCAACCUGGGAACUGCAUCCAAAACUACUGAGCUAGAGUACGGUAGAGGGUGGUGGAAUUUCCUGUGUAGCGGUGAAAUGCGUAGAUAUAGGAAGGAACACCAGUGGCGAAGGCGACCACCUGGACUGAUACUGACACUGAGGUGCGAAAGCGUGGGGAGCAAACAGGAUUAGAUACCCUGGUAGUCCACGCCGUAAACGAUGUCAACUAGCCGUUGGGGUU